GGCGGCAUAGCCAAGCGGGAAGGCAGAGGACUGCAAAUCCUUCAUCCUCGGUUCAAAUCCGAGUGCCGCCUCCA
rnacentral:tRNA from 1 species